rnacentral:rRNA from 1 species
UACGAAGGGGGCUAGCGUUGUUCGGAUUUACUGGGCGUAAAGCGCACGUAGGCGGCUUGUUAAGUCAGAGGUGAAAUCCCAGGGCUCAACCCUGGAACUGCCUUUGAUACUGGCAGGCUCGAGUAUGGUAGAGGUUGGUGGAACUCCGAGUGUAGAGGUGAAAUUCGUAGAUAUUCGGAAGAACACCAGUGGCGAAGGCGGCCAACUGGACCAUUACUGACGCUGAGGUGCGAAAGCGUGGGGAGCAAACAGG